rnacentral:rRNA from 1 species
CCAGUCUUUAUUUGUAAUCCUCCACCAACCCGGCGGGSCCAUUGGAACUUGGUUCCUUGAGUGCAGAAGAGGAGAGUGGAAUCCACAUGUUACCUCUGCAAGCCCUAGAGAUUUGGAGGAACCAGUGCGCAGGCGGUUCUCUGUCUGUUACUUUGGUUAUGUGCGAAGCGUGGGGAGGGAGCAGGAUUAGAUAUCUGGUGUUCCCCCCCCCCGCGAGACUAAGUGUUGAGGGUUGGGGGGGUUUAGUUCUUCAGCAACGCCUAAAGCUUUCCGCCUGUUGGUCGGUGGCGACUGAAACUCAAAGGAAUUGACGGGGGGCGCGCGCCACCGGCCAGCUGUGGUUUAUUCGUAGCAACGCGAAGAAACCAAGCASGUCUUGACGUCCUCUGACAACCCUAGAGACAGGGCUUACCUUCGGGGGCGGAGUGACAGGGGGUGCAUGGUUGUGGUCAGCUCGUUUCGUGAGAUGUUGGGUUAAGUCCCGCAACAGCGCAACCCUUGAUCUUAGUUCCCGGCAUUCAGUCAAGCACUCUAAGGUGACUGCCGGUGACAACCCGGAGGACCGAGGGGACGACGUCAAAUCAUCACCCCUUACGACCUGGGCUACACACGUGCUACAAUGGGCAGAACAAAGGGCAGCGAAGCCGCGAGGCUAAGCCAAUCCCACAAAUCUGUUCUCAGUUCGGAUCGCAGUCUGCAACUCGACUGCGUGAAGCUGGAAUCGCUAGUAAUCGCGGAUCAGCAUGCCGCGGUGAAUACGUUCCCGGGCCUUGUACACACCGCCCGUCACACCACGAGAGUUUGUAACACCCGAAGUCGGUGAGGUAACCUUUUGGAGCCAGCCGCCCGAACAGUGUACCUGACCUACC